GGUCCGGCGGCCAUAGCGGUGGGUAAAUGCCCGGUCUCAUUCCGAACUCGGAAGCUAAGCCCUCCAGCGCCGAUGGUACUGCACCCGAGAGAGUGUGGGAGAGUAGGACGCCGCCGGACCA
rnacentral:rRNA from 1 species